GAAACUGAAAAUCCAUAGUGUAAUACACUAAAUGGGACAGAGACUCUGGGGACUCUAAUGGUGAUAAGAAAGGGAAUAGAAAUGCGUGAGUAGGUCACGACUUGAGACUUGCUGAGAGACACGAGAAGAAUUCCAUGAAAAUAAAUCAAUGGAAGGACUCGAGCUGACUCAAAGGUGCAUGUAUUGGGGAAAUACGCCAAUACAGCAAAAACUAUCCACAAAGGAUACU
rnacentral:lncRNA from 1 species